CCUACGGGCGGCUGCAGUGGGGAAUAUUGGACAAUGGGCGAAAGCCUGAUCCAGCCAUGCCGCGUGUGUGAAGAAGGCCUUCGGGUUGUAAAGCACUUUCAGUGGGGAAGAAAGCCUUGGGGCUAAUACCCUCGAGGAAGGACAUCACCCACAGAAGAAGCACCGGCUAACUCCGUGCCAGCAGCCGCGGUAAUACGGAGGGUGUGAGCGUUAAUCGGAAUUACUGGGCGUAAAGCGCGCGUAGGCGGUCUGAUAAGCCGGUUGUGAAAGCCCCGGGCUCAACCUGGGAACGGCAUCCGGAACUGUCAGGCUAGAGUGCAGGAGAGGAAGGUAGAAUUCCCGGUGUAGCGGUGAAAUGCGUAGAGAUCGGGAGGAAUACCAGUGGCGAAGGCGGCCUUCUGGACUGACACUGACGCUGAGGUGCGAAAGCGUGGGUAGCAAACAGGAUUAGAUACCCGGGUAGUC
rnacentral:rRNA from 1 species